rnacentral:lncRNA from 1 species
GUCGUCAGCUAAUUGAGAAAUCUUUAAACUGUGUGUUUUAGUAUCUAGCUUAAUUUGAAAACCUUUGAUGUUGUUGUCUUGUCUUAUUCUGCAGGACAAAAUUUCUACAGCAAUAACAAAAAUCAGGGAACUUAACGGGCAGCCUUGUCUAAUACCGCGUUUAAUGUUAUAUGGUGAUGAGACCCACCCAUUGUUUAACAUACAACCCGUUAUGUCUUUGUACAGAGUUUUAACCCAUUUGAUAAAAG